rnacentral:rRNA from 1 species
AGGACGAACGCUGGCGGCGUGCUUAACACAUGCAAGUCGAGCGGAAAGGCCCUUCGGGUACGUCGAGCGGCGAACGGGUGAGUAACACGUGAGCAACCUGCCCCUGGCUCUGGGAUAGCUCCGGGAAAACCGGGAUUAAUACCGGAUAUGACCUUCCGUUGCAUGACGGCGGGUGGAAAGUUUUUCGGCUGAGGAUGGGCCCGCGGCCUAUCAGCUUGUUGGUGGGGUAAUGGCCUACCAAGGCGACGACGGGUA